AUUGAACGCUGGCGGCAGGCCUAACGCAUGCAAGUCGAACGAGUGGCGGACGGGUGAGUAAUGUCUGGGAAACUGCCCGAUGGAGGGGGAUAACUACUGGAAACGGUAGCUAAUACCGCAUACCAUCGGAUGUGCCCAGAUGGGAUUAGCUAGUAGGUGGGGGAACGGCUCACCUAGGCGACGAUCCCUAGCUGCUCUGAGAGGAUGACCAGACACACUGGAACUGAUAGACGGUCCAGACUCCUACGGGAGGCAGCAGUGGGGAAUAUUGCACAAGGGGCGCAAGCCUGAUGCAGCCAUGCCGCGUGUAUGAAGAAGGCCUUCGGGUUGUAAAGUACUUUCAGCGAGGAGGCGUUACUCGCAGAAGAAGCACCGGCUAACUCCGUGCCAGCAGCCGCGGUAAUAC
rnacentral:rRNA from 1 species